GCUAUAGACAUAUAUACAAAUUAACCUCUCACUUUAGAGCAAUUCAAAUAAGGUACAGCCUAUUUGAUACAGGACCCAACCUUAAUUAACGGGUAAUACUCAAUUUAUAUUUACAAGUAGGCCUAAAAGCAGCCAUCUUUUUAAAAGCGUCAUAGCUUAACUAUAUUUAUUCUAAUUCCUCAAUCCAACUCGACCCCUUUAAUUGUACUGAGAACUUCUAUAAAAUUAUAGAACUUUUUAUGCUAAAACUAGUAACAAGAGGCAACCCCUCUCUAUAACGCAAGUAUAAUCCAGCAAGAACCCACCACUGGCAAUUAACAGACCUAAACAAAAGUAGUAACCCACCUAGAAAACCCUACUUCCAUAACUGUUAAUCUAAUACUAGAGCAUUUCAAGAAAGAUUAAAAGAAAAAGAAGGAAUUCGGCAAAUAUUAGCCCCGCCUGUUUACCAAAAACAUCGCCUCUUGAUAUCAUGAGAGGUCUAGCCUGCCCAGUGACUUCUGUUCAACGGCCGCGGUAUCCUAACCGUGCGAAGGUAGCGUAAUCACUUGUCUUCUAAAUAGAGACCAGUAUGAAAGGCAUCACGAGGACUAAACUGUCUCCUUUCUCUAAUCAGUGAACCUAAUCUCCCCGUGAAGAAGCGGGGAUUUUUUUAUAAGACGAGAAGACCCUAUGGAGCUUAAAACAUCACACACCUGUCACUCUAUUCUAUAUACCCAGGUAUUUCCCCCCCCCCGUGACACACUGAUUAUAUGUUUUUGGUUGGGGUGACCUCGGAGAAAAAUUUAUCCUCCACAAUGAAAGGGAUUUCCCUGAACAGUAAGCUACAACUUUAUACACCAGUAAACUGACAUCCAUUGACCCAAUAUAUUGAUUAACGAACCAAGUUACCCUAGGGAUAACAGCGCAAUCCACUUUGAGAGCCCCUAUCGACAAGUGGGCUUACGACCUCGAUGUUGGAUCGGGGUAUCCUAGUGGUGCAGCCGCUACUAAAGGUUCGUUUGUUCAACGAUUAAAACCCCACGUGAUCUGAGUUCAGACCGGAGCAAUCCAGGUCAGUUUCUAUCUAUAAUAGAGCUUUUUUUAGUACGAAAGGACCAAAACAGCAUGGCCAAUAUUUCUACAAGCCAUAGUUAAUUAUUUUUGAGUUUCCCUCAAAAAAUUAUCAACCUAACAUUUUUAUCAAGAAAAGAAUA
rnacentral:rRNA from 1 species